GGGAAGUUGGCUCAGUGGUAGAGUGCUUGCUUUGCAUGCAUGAGGCCUUGGGUUCCAUUCCUUAGCACCACA
rnacentral:tRNA from 1 species